rnacentral:rRNA from 1 species
GACGAACGCUGGCGGCAGGCCUAACACAUGCAAGUCGAGCGGCAGCGGGAAAGUAGCUUGCUACUUUUGCCGGCGAGCGGCGGACGGGUGAGUAAUGCCUGGGAAAUUGCCCAGUCGAGGGGGAUAACAGUUGGAAACGACUGCUAAUACCGCAUACGCCCUACGGGGGAAAGCAGGGGACCUUCGGGCCUUGCGCGAUUGGAUAUGCCCAGGUGGGAUUAGCUAGUUGGUGAGGUAAUGGCUCACCAAGGCGACGAUCCCUAGCUGGUCUGAGAGGAUGAUCAGCCACACUGGAACGGAGACACGGUCCAGACUCCUACGGGAGGCAGCAGUGGGGAAUAUUGCACAAUGGGGGAAACCCUGAUGCAGCCAUGCCGCGUGUGUGAAGAAGGCCUUCGGGUUGUAAAGCACUUUCAGCGAGGAGGAAAGGUUGAUGCCUAAUACGUAUCAACUGUGACGUUACUCGCAGAAGAAGCACCGGCUAACUCCGUGCCAGCCGCCGCGGUAA